rnacentral:lncRNA from 1 species
AGCUGAGGAUUGACGAAAAGACAUGUGUCUACCCUGCAGGACUUUACAAGUCGUCUCUGUUCCUAAAGGCGGGAAACAAUAAGUUGUUCUACAUAGGCGCUCAAGAGCAGCUCUACACAUUCUCGCUGUUUGAGAAUAUAGCUCUUUGGGUCUGCAGAUAUAUUACAAAAAAUCCACCUGGAAAACCAAAAUCAAAAUCAGAGAUGGAAGCUGAUGCAGAACAAUGGCAACGUCGUGCCUCUUUGGUAACUUCUCGUCAUGAUUUUCUAGAUUUCCAGACAGCGAUCAUGAAAGAUCUGGCUGACGAAACAGGGUACACACAAGAUUUCCUAAAAGCUGUUCCAAUUAUUAAAAAGUGGUUCGAACACCGAGAAGAAGGAAUUGCAGGUUACAGAGAUCACCGUUUCCACUCUAUAUACACGGGAAAACUGGCACCCAAGCAAACUACUUUCUUGAAGGCAUUUGACGACAGUCUCCAAACCUUCCUUAAAAACAAAUGAUGUAAAGCAGUAAUAAUAAACAUGGCGUUUGUACGUCUAUUAUGUUAAAGGUUUAACACACAUGCAAACACGUACGUAUAUAUACGCAUAUACAUAUAUAGGAUAACUAGAUCUAUAUGGAAUAACUAUCUUUUAGUUCAAUUAUAUUUGUAUACCAUCUGAUAUAGACCCGUCAUAUAGUCCGUUAUAUAUUCUAAGUUUUAUGUUUGCUGACAUUAUACCUUAUUACUUGAUAAUUGGUAAAAUUUAUCUUGACUUUAAAGGAGUACAAUCUAAGAUUGCACACCGCUGUUGCAUGCGCAAAGAAUAUGUUUAGUUGGAUACUAUUUUGGAUUGAUUUUCUAAUGUUCUAGAAAGUUACAAUGUUGUCACAAAAUGUUAUAAAUUUGAGUUAAUAAAUCUAUAAGUCGAUCCUCUGGAAAUGCAGAACGAAAUCAAACAAUAUUCAUGGUGCACAGCACUUCACAAAUUUCUUUUGUAAAGAAAAACUUGUAAAAUACCAGUCCAGCAGGAGACAACAGUCGAGGACUAAAAAAGAAAACAGAAUCGUUGACAUUGGGUUAAAGGCUCGUGUAGUAUCAUAUAUUAUUGGAAUAUCAAUAUUUAGAUUUUGCACAAAUAAGAACUGAGACCGCCAUUUAUGUGAGAACUUAAAAUUAGAGACUAGAAUUUAUUUCAACUGUCAAUCCUCACAGUAAACAUACCUUGGAAUUUUUGUCCCAUUAGAAAAAGUAAACUAGUAUAGCAAAAACAUGAACAUUAAGACAUGAAUCGUUUUCCCGUCUGAUUAAAUACUAAAGUGUUGUUCUAUUGCUGAUAUAGAAAUUUGGUUAGUUUCAUAUUCCCUUAUAGGAUAAAACACAUCUUGAUUAUUCAGAUUUUUUUUAAAGAUGCUUCUGCUUACAUUGAUAUUCAUUUUAUGUCAGAAUUUUAAUAAUCGUUUGUACAAUACAAUAUCAAAUACUAUAAAACGAAAUAAAUGAAUUCUUACUAUU